AAACCAACAGGGAUUGCCCUAGUAACGGCGAGUGAAGCGGCAACAGCUCAAAUUUGAAAGCUGGCCUUCGGGUCCGCAUUGUAAUUUGUAGAGGAUGCUUUGGGUGAAACGCCAGUCUAAGUUCCUUGGAACAGGACGUCAUAGAGGGUGAGAAUCCCGUAUGUGACUGGAAAUGUUAACCUAUGUAAAGCUCCUUCGACGAGUCGAGUUGUUUGGGAAUGCAGCUCUAAAUGGGAGGUAAAUUUCUUCUAAAGCUAAAUAUUGGCGAGAGACCGAUAGCGCACAAGUAGAGUGAUCGAAAGAUGAAAAGCACUUUGGAAAGAGAGUUAAAAAGCACGUGAAAUUGUUGAAAGGGAAGCGCUUGCAAUCAGACUUGUUUAAACUGUUCGGCCGGUCUUCUGACCGGUUUACUCAGUUUGGACAGGCCAGCAUCAGUUUCGGCGGCCGGAUAAAGGCUCUGGGAAUGUGGCCUUCACUUCGGUGAAGGUGUUAUAGCCCAGGGUGUAAUACGGCCAGCCGGGACUGAGGUCCGCGCUUCGGCUAGGAUGCUGGCGUAAUGGUUGUAAGCGACCCGUCUUGAAACACCG
rnacentral:rRNA from 1 species